ACUCGAUCGCAUACUUGUAUCAAUCAGAUUGACGACGAGAACCACAUGAGAGAAAACAGAAGGGAUAUGUACGCACUACAAGCUUUCGAGCCGCUUGAGCUGGCUGCCUGGGCCCGAGCGGCUGCGCGCGCAUUCUCCCCACCACUCGCUUACGGCGUGAGCGUCGCCACUAGUCAGAGAUGGCUGGCUCGCCGCCCUCACCGGCCGUACGGUAGCUGUGGGUAGGUGAGUGUAUGUGGAGGGGAUGGAUGCUCCGUCUACAAAUCGACAACUGAAAACUUUGGAGCAUAUUUUCGACUAUCGGGAGUGAUCGAAUCAGGUGACGAUUAAUUUAUCCGUUGGUCUCUUGCGUUAGCCGCGAUGUACAUACGACGCAAUCGGUCGGGUCGCGAAACUGCGUAGCGAAGCUUCUGGAACCGGCGCGGCGUACGGCAUGAAGUUGCCCCUUCAUUUCGUAGGUGUUUCGUAGGCGACGUGCAGUGCAACGUAACCGAAAGUCGCGAGUGUAUCGGACGAAGGAAAGUGUAGCCGUGCCCUUGCGUGUUCUCCCGUAUUUACCCUUGGCACAGUAAGUUUCGGUGAUCGCGUCGCGUUGAUUAAUCCGCGGGAUGCGUAACGAUUGGCGUUGGGCCGAUUUGCGUUUGAUUUUCGAUGUGAGAGAGAGAGAGAGAGACGAGCGAGCGCCGGGAAAGAGACGGCGUUCGCUCUUCACACGGCGCCGGAGCAAUCGACGACGGUGGACGUGCAUCGUCGGAUGUGUAAAUAUUUACGGACUGAUUCGAAGACGAGUUCGAAAGUAUUGUGCGAGUGUUUAGAGAAAGACUAGUAUAUCCGUUGGUCUCUCGUGAUGUGCAAUGUAAUCGGUCGAGUCGCGAAACGGCGCAUCGAAGCUUCUCGACCGGCGUGAACUUGCCGCUUCAUUUCGUACGCGUCGCGCGAUGUAACCGAAAAUCGCAAGUAUGUCGGAAGGGAAGUAUGGCCGUGUCCUUGCGUGUCUUUCCGUAUUUACUUCCGGCACAAUAAGUUUCGGGGAUCGGUGAUCGCGUCGCCUUGAUUAAUCCGCGGGAUGCGUGGCGAUUGGCGUUUCUCGGGUCGAUUUGCGUGAUUUGAGACGAGAGUGUGACGAGCGAGCGUUGGGAAGACGCGACGUCGGGGCAGUCGAAAAUCACGAUACAUCGUCAGGUGUGUAAAUUAUUUUCGGAGUUCGGAAGUGUUGUGUGAGUGUUCAACGAAGGACCCCAGUGUAUCUGAGAGGAAGAGGAGGCCUGGGAGGCAUCAGGCGACGACGGAACAACCAUGGGAUCAACAUAGUCUUCGAUGCUGUUUGAUUUCCGCUGCUGCGCAUCGUAUCGAUAUUUCUCGAGAGAUCCAACGACGAAAAGCCAACAUCCGUCGCCGAUCUAUAAUAAAAUAAACGAACCGCAGCCGGUUCGUCGCGUCGCGCGUUUAUUUCGGGAGUGCCGUUUAAGUUAUUGGACUAAUAGACUUUUCAAUAACUCCAAUUUGAUAGAAUCCUAAUUCGAGGGCCGGGAAUCGCACCCCCGCUGCUUGGUAGUGGAUAUCUCCUCACUACUCGCCGACCGGGGUGCUGAAUCCACGGACUCCCUCCGAAUGGGAAGUCAUAUCAUGGAUUUUAUAAACCCGAGUACCGCAGUGUUGCGCGAAAGACUUUUAUAAAUAAUUGGUCCACGCGCGUAAAUUUAAGAUAUUCGCGAGUGUUCCGCGUGUGCAACAAGAGAAAGAGGAGCUUGACAACCUAGAGGGUUCUGAGAGGAGGAGGAGGCCUAGGAGGCAUCAUGCGACGGCGGAGCACCCUCAAGGUGGACGGUACCAUCGACGAAUAUCGAGGUGCUCUAUCAUGGUACGAGAGAGUUGCGGAACAGCUGGAUCCUCGCGAGGCUUCUUUGAUACGCGGCAACGUCAAUUGACAAAAAACGACAGCACCACCAUCGCUACCCUUGACAACGAUCGUUAACUCUUGUUCUGCGAUGACCUCGAGCCAUUUGCGCUUUAGCCGUCGUCCGUGCACGCCGACUGAGUCAACGUGGCGUUACAACUCCGUCGCUGCGCGUCGUGAUGUCGCGCCAGAGAGAUUUCAUUUUUGAGCGGGAGAAUACUCGAAGACCCUCUCGGACGUACUAGGAAAUCGAUAGCCACAUUUUUCGACAAAUUGGUGAGUCUCACGUUUUUCACGUUUCUUCUAUUCCGAUACGCUCCACUUGAAACCACUUGAAGUUUCUGUUGCACGGGAUUUCGACAAUGUAGGUGGGUUUAGAUUCAAAAGGUCGUGAUUUUCGGCGCGAUUUCGUGUUUCGUGGUUCGCCCCAGUCUAAUGAUCCAUGUUCCUCGAGGACGUCGAAGCUGAGUGUGGCUAAGGAGGUCCUUGUUCCUUGCCGAAGUUCCUCUCGGAGUCCCACCUUAAAGACUGAAGUGGUACACAAUAUCGUCGCCGUGGGGUCAACGACACCCCCACUGUCGCUUCCUACUUUUUUUUUCUCAGUCGACCGCCCUCUCGCGCGCCCGCUCGACGGAUCCUUUCUUCAAUUAAAGCUGAAGGAAUCGACGGAGAGAUGAUUGAACAUUGUGCGCCACAAUGCAGUAGCAUGUACAGGCCCGUUCUCCGCGUUCAGUGAGAGUAUGUAGUACAUAGGAGCAACUGGACCAUGAUUGACGAUGUGACGUUUCCCUCUCCUCUCCUCCUCCUCGUCUCUUCGACCUU